rnacentral:rRNA from 1 species
GCCCAUAAGACUGGGAUAACUCCGGGAAACCGGGGCUAAUACCGGAUAACAUUUUGAACCGCAUGGUUCGAAAUUGAAAGGCGGCUUCGGCUGUCACUUAUGGAUGGACCCGCGUCGCAUUAGCUAGUUGGUGAGGUAACGGCUCACCAAGGCAACGAUGCGUAGCCGACCUGAGAGGGUGAUCGGCCACACUGGGACUGAGACACGGCCCAGACUCCUACGGGAGGCAGCAGUGGUCAUA